AUUGAACGCUGGCGGCAGGCUUAACACAUGCAAGUCGAGCGGGGUGAUGGUGCUUGCACUAUCACUUAGCGGCGGACGGGUGAGUAAUGCUUAGGAAUCUGCCUAUUAGUGGGGGACAACAUCUCGAAGGGGAUGCUAAUACCGCAUACAUCCUACGGGAGAAAGCAGGGGAUCACUUGUGACCUUGCGCUAAUAGAUGAGCCUAAGUCGGAUUAGCUAGUUGGUGGGGUAAAGGCCUACCAAGGCGACGAUCUGUAGCGGGUCUGAGAGGAUGAUCCGCCACACUGGGACGGAGACACGGCCCAGACUCCUACGGGGGGAAGCAGUGGGGAAUAUUGGACAAUGGGGGGAACCCUGAUCCAGCCAUGCCGCGUGUGUGAAGAAGGCCUUAUGGUUGUAAAGCACUUUAAGCGAGGAGGAGGCUCUUUUGGUUAAUACCCAAGAUGAGUGGACGUUACUCGCAGAAUAAGCACCGGCUAACUCUGUGCCAGCAGCCGCCGCGG
rnacentral:rRNA from 1 species